UUAGGGAAGAAUAAAUGAUGGAAAAAUCAUUCUGACGGUACCUAAUGAAUAAGCCCCGGCAAACUAUGUGCCAGCAGCCGCGGUAAUACAUAGGGGGCAAGCGUUAUCCGGAAUUAUUGGGCGUAAAGGGUGCGUAGGCGGUUAAAUAAGUUUAUGGUCUAAGUGCAAUGCUCAACAUUGUGAUGCUAUAAAAACUGUUUAGCUAGAGUAAGAUAGAGGCAAGUGGAAUUCCAUGUGUAGUGGUAAAAUGCGUAAAUAUAUGGAGGAACACCAGUAGCGAAGGCGGCUUGCUGGGUCUUUACUGACGCUGAGGCACGAAAGCGUGGGGAGCAAACAGGAUUAGAUACCCUGGUAGUCCACGCCGUAAACGAUGAGUACUAAACGUUGGGUAAAACCAGUGUUGAAGUUAACACAUUAAGUACUCCGCCUGAGUAGUACGUACGCAAGUAUGAAACUUAAAGGAAUUGACGGGACUCCGCACAAGCGGUGGAUCAUGUUGUUUAAUUCGAAGGUACCCGAAAAACCUCACCAGGUCUUGACAUGCUUCUGCAAAGCUGUAGAAACACAGUGGAGGUUAUCAGUUGCACAGGUGGUGCAUGGUUGUCGUCAGCUCGUGUCGUGAGAUGUUGGGUUAAGUCCCGCAACGAGCGCAACCCUUAUUGUUAGUUACCAGCACGUAAUGGUGGGGACUAUAGCAAGACUGCCAGUGAUAAAUUGGAGGAAGGUGGGGACGACGUCAAAUCAUCAUGCCCCUUAUGACCUGGGCUACAAACGUGAUACAAUGGCUGUUACAAAGGGUAGCUGAAGCGCAAGUUUUUGGCGAAUCUCAAAAAAACAGUCUCAGUUCGGAUUGAAGUCUGCAACUCGACUUCAUGAAGUUGGAAUCGCUG
rnacentral:rRNA from 1 species